rnacentral:ncRNA from 2 species
CUCGUUUACAAGGGGAGCUCGGGGAACCGGGCUGAGAGGACCCCUAAAUGGGGUUGACCCUUCGAACCUGAUCCGGGUAAUACCGGCGGAGGGAUAGGACAGUGAACGUCA